rnacentral:rRNA from 1 species
UACGUAGGGUGCGAGCGUUACUCGGAAUUACUGGGCGUAAAGCGUGCGCAGGCGGUCUGUUAAGACAGAUGUGAAAUCCCCGGGCUUAACCUGGGAACUGCAUUUGUGACUGGCAGGCUAGAGUAUGGCAGAGGGGGGUAGAAUUCCACGUGUAGCAGUGAAAUGCGUAGAGAUGUGGAGGAAUACCGAUGGCGAAGGCAGCCCCCUGGGCAAAUACUGACGCUCAUGCACGAAAGCGUGGGGAGCAAACAGG